rnacentral:rRNA from 1 species
GAUGAACGCUGGCGGCGUGCCUAAUACAUGCAAGUCGAGCGAACAGACGAGGAUCUUGCUCCUCUGACGUUAGCGGCGGACGGGUGAGUAACACGUGGAUAACCUACCUAUAAGACUGGGAUAACUUCGGGAAACCGGAGCUAAUACCGGAUAAUAUAUUGAACCGCAUGGUUCAAUAGUGAAAGACGGUUUUGCUGUCACUUAUAGAUGGAUCCGCGCCGCAUUAGCUAGUUGGUAAGGUAACGGCUUACCAAGGCAACGAUGCGUAGCCGACCUGAGAGGGUGAUCGGCCACACUGGAACUGAGACACGGUCCAGACUCCUACGGGAGGCAGCAGUAGGGAAUAUUCCGCAAUGGGCGAAAGCCUGACGGAGCAACGCCGCGUGAGUGAUGAAGGUCUUCGGAUCGUAAAACUCUGUUAUUAGGGAAGAACAAAUGUGUAAGUAACUAUGCACGUCUUGACGGUACCUAAUCAGAAAGCAACGGCUAACUACGUG